rnacentral:rRNA from 1 species
AGUGAACGCUGGCGGUAGGCCUAACACAUGCAAGUCGAACGGCAGCACAGUAAGAGCUUGCUCUUACGGGUGGCGAGUGGCGGACGGGUGAGGAAUACAUCGGAAUCUACUUUUUCGUGGGGGAUAACGUAGGGAAACUUAUGCUAAUACCGCAUACGACCUACGGGGGAAAGCAGGGGAUCUUCGGACCUUGCGCGAUUGAAUGAGCCGAUGUCGGAUUAGCUCGUUGGCGGGGUAAAGGGCCACCAAGGCGACGAUCCGUAGAUGGUCUGAGAGGAUGAUCCGCCACACUGGAACUGAGGCACGGUCCAGACUCCUACGGGAGGCAGCAGUGGGGAAUAUUGGACAAUGCGCGCAAGCCUGAUCCAGCCAUACCGCGUGGGUGAAGAAGGCCUUCGGGUUGUAAAGCCCUUUUGUUGGGAAAGAAAAGCAGCAGGUUAAUACCCCGCUGUUCUGACGGUACCCAAAGAAUAAGCACCGGCUAACUUCGUG